GGCUGGCCAAGCGUGGUGGCGUUUGCAACUAACCGAUCACAGCCUGUUACAGAUUCCUUUGUUCCUUCUCCACUCCCACUGCUUCACCUGACCAGCCUUCA
rnacentral:Y_RNA from 1 species